UUCAACUUGGAAUGGCACGGUAGCAUAGUACAUUAUACAAGAAAAUAAACAUGCUCUCCUACCUAUUGAUCAAUAGAUUAAUUUUGAAAAGAGAAAUUUUUUUUGAAAAGGGCGGGCUUCCUCCGUCGAGAGAAACAAGAGAUGUUGACCUCCCAAAGCCAGUACGAAAAAUGGCAAACGCGGCAUUCAGAACUCGUGAGUUUCGACUCAGGGUACUUUCAUUGCUUUUAUUCUUUCUCCCGGAGAAUGGCGGGAGCAAUUGUCGACGUUGAAAGCUCCCAAAUUCCUCGCUUUCUAUCUGUCGAUGGCUUCAAGCUUGUCAGGGUGACAGCCUGUCUCAAGAAUGGUGCCACAGAAGCUCAUAUAGUCCAGUCAAUAGGCAACAUGGUAGAAGUGAAGAGGUGCAUUUGCUCAUCAGUUGCAGACUUGCACAAAAAGGGUUUUGGCAUGCAAAAUUUUUUCGUAAAUCUUUAUAAUUUCUCCAAGUGCUGCCAUAGACCAACAACCAUCUGGAGCAUCAAUACCAUGGUAGCCCUUGUCAUAUGAAAGCACUGGGAAAAUCACAGAAGUGAAAUGGUUUAUUUUCUGUUCAAUUUCAGACUUAAAUCUGGAGUCAGGAAGGGUAGUAUGGACAGUUGUUGUUUCUUCACAUGGAGCCGCAAAUAGAAGUAUAGUGCUCGUCAUAUUCAUAUGGUUGUAUCUGCCCAGCAAGAUUUCUUUGAUGGCAUUCAACUUCCAUUGGAUGGCUGUCAAUGAACUGCUGCACCAGUAUCAGAAACACCCCAAGGUUAGGCUUGUUCCUCCUUCCUGCUGCAAGUUUCAUGCACUGAUUAGCAAGAUAUCUGUUCAAAUUGAACAUUAUGGCAUGAACUGGCACAAUAUCCUCAACUAUUAAAUCAUAAGAGAAGUGAGUUGCUGCAUCCUGUUCCAAAAGUUACUGUGCAUGAGAUCUGCCUGCCUGUAGAUUCCACAGGAACAAAUAAUUGUGCCCAUCCAUCUAAGAAGAUAGAAACAAGCAUUCAAUGAUGCUUUCAGAAUUUUUUAUCAAUUUAAGUUGUAUAAUGAUGAUAAUUAAAAUAUUUAUACAGAAAGUUUAGCACUUUUAGGCUUUUUGAGCAUCAAUUGUCAUAAAUAUUUUAACGGCUUGUUGGCAAGAUU